GACGAACCGUGCAAACGUUAUUCGGAUUCACUGGGCUUAAAGCGCGUGUAGGCGGCCCGGCACGUCUGUCGUUGAAAUCCCCCGGCUCAACCGGGGAAUGGGCGCAGAUACGACCGGGCUGGAGGCCGGUAGGGGGAGUCGGAACUUCCGGUGGAGCGGUGAAAUGCGUUGAGAUCGGAAGGAACGCCCGUGGCGAAAGCGGACUCCUGGACCGGACCUGACGCUGAGACGCGAAAGCCAGGGGAGCAAACGGG
rnacentral:rRNA from 1 species